rnacentral:rRNA from 1 species
GACGAACGCUGGCGGCGUGCCUAAUACAUGCAAGUCGAACGCAGUGGGGACGGGUGAGUAACACGUGGGUAACCUCCCAUCAGAGGGGAUAACACUUGGAAACAGGUGCUAAACCGAUACUGAUGGAUGGACCCGCGGUGCAUUAGCUAGUUGGUGAGGUAACGGCUCCCCAAGGCCACGAUGCAUAGCGGACCGAAAAGGGGGAUCGGAGACACUGGAACGGAAACAAGGCCCAGACUCAUACGGGAGGAAGCAGUAGGGAAUCUGCGGCAAUGGACGAAAGUCGGACCGAGAAACGCCGCGUGAGUGAAGAAGGUGUUCGGAUCGUAAAACUCUGUUGUUAGAGAAGCGGUAUCUAACCAGAAAGCCACGGCUAACUACGUGCCAGCAGCCGCGGUAAUAC